UACGUAGGCAGCAAGCGUUGUUCGGAGUUACUGGGCGUAAAGGGUGCGUAGGCGGCCCUGUAAGUAUGGUGUGAAAUCUCCCGGCUUAACUGGGAGGGUGCGCUAUAGACUGCGGGGCUCGAGUGUGGGAGAGGAAAGUGGAAUUCCUGGUGUAGCGGUGAAAUGCGUAGAUAUCGAGGAGGAACACCGGUGGUGUAAACGGCUUUCUGGACCAUAAACUG
rnacentral:rRNA from 1 species